AUUGAACGCUGGCGGCAGGCCUAACACAUGCAAGUCGAGCGGAUGAAGGGAGCUUGCUCCUGGAUUCAGCGGCGGACGGGUGAGUAAUGCCUAGGAAUCUGCCUGGCAGUGGGGGAUAACGUCCGGAAACGGGCGCUAAUACCGCAUACGUCCUGAGGGAGAAAGUGGGGGAUCUUCGGACCUCACGCUAUCAGAUGAGCCUAGUUCGGAUUAGCUAGUUGGUGGGGUAAAGGCCUACCAAGGCGACGAUCCGUAACUGGUCUGAGUGGAUGAUCAGUCACAGGGAAACAGAGACGGGGUCGAGACCCCUGGGAGGGGCAGGAGGGGAAAAUUUUGCACUGGGGGCAAGACUGACAGACAGCCACGCCGCGUGUGAGAAGAAUGUCUGCGGCUUGAAAAGCUCUUAAGGUUGAAGAAAAGAUGUGUAAGUAAAUACCUUGCUCUUUAGGGGUCACAAACAGAAUAAGAACCGGAAAACUUCG
rnacentral:rRNA from 1 species